rnacentral:rRNA from 1 species
CUUAGGUAAAUCCGGGGUUUCAAGGCCGAGAGCUGAUGACGAGUCGUCUUUUAGAUGACGAAGUGGUUGAUGCCAUGCUUCCAAGAAAAGCUUCUAAGCUUCAGGUAACCAGGAACCGUACCCCAAACCGACACAGGUGGUCGGGUAGAGAAUACCAAGGCGCUUGAGAGAACUCGGGUGAAGGAACUAGGCAAAAUGGCACCGUAACUUCGGGAGAAGGUGCGCCGGCUAGGGUGAAGGAUUUACUCCGUAAGCUCUGGCUGGUCGAAGAUACCAGGCCGCUGCGACUGUUUAUUAAAAACACAGCACUCUGCAAACACGAAAGUGGACGUAUAGGGUGUGACGCCUGCCCGGUGCCGGAAGGUUAAUUGAUGGGGUUAGCGCAAGCGAAGCUCUUGAUCGAAGCCCCGGUAAACGGCGGCCGUAACAAUAACGGUCCUAAGGUAGCGAAAUUCCUUGUCGGGUAAGUUCCGACCUGCACGAAUGGCGUAACGAUGGCGGCGCUGUCUCCACCCGAGACACAGUGAAAUUGAAAUCGCUGUGAAGAUGCAGUGUAUCCGCGGCUAGACGGAAAGACCCCGUGAACCUUUACUGUAGCUUUGCACUGGACUUUGAGCCUGCUUGUGUAGGAUAGGUGGGAGGCUUUGAAGCGUGGACGCCAGUUCGCGUGGAGCCAUCCUUGAAAUACCACCCUGGCAUGCUUGAGGUUCUAACUCUGGUCCGUAAUCCGGAUCGAGGACAGUGUAUGGUGGGCAGUUUGACUGGGGCGGUCUCCUCCUAAAGAGUAACGGAGGAGUACGAAGGUGCGCUCAGACCGGUCGGAAAUCGGUCGCAGAGUAUAAAGGCAAAAGCGCGCUUGACUGCGAGACAGACACGUCGAGCAGGUACGAAAGUAGGUCUUAGUGAUCCGGUGGUUCUGUAUGGAAGGGCCAUCGCUCAACGGAUAAAAGGUACUCCGGGGAUAACAGGCUGAUACCGCCCAAGAGUUCAUAUCGACGGCGGUGUUUGGCACCUCGAUGUCGGCUCAUCACAUCCUGGGGCUGAAGCCGGUCCCAAGGGUAUGGCUGUUCGCCAUUUAAAGUGGUACGCGAGCUGGGUUUAGAACGUCGUGAGACAGUUCGGUCCCUAUCUGCCGUGGACGUUUGAGAUUUGAGAGGGGCUGCUCCUAGUACGAGAGGACCGGAGUGGACGAACCUCUGGUGUUCCGGUUGUCACGCCAGUGGCAUUGCCGGGUAGCUAUGUUCGGAAAAGAUAACCGCUGAAAGCAUCUAAGCGGGAAACUUGCCUCAAGAUGAGAUCUCACUGGGAACUUGAUUCCCCUGAAGGGCCGUCGAAGACUACGACGUUGAUAGGCUGGGUGUGUAGGCGUUGUGAGGCGUUGAGCUAACCAGUACUAAUUGCCCGUGAGGCUUGACC